AGGUUAAGCUACUAAGGGCGCACGGUGGAUGCCUUGGCACUAGAAGCCUAAGAAGGACGGGA
rnacentral:rRNA from 1 species